rnacentral:rRNA from 1 species
UACGAAGGGGGCUAGCGUUGCUCGGAAUCACUGGGCGUAAAGCGCACGUAGGCGGAUUGCUAAGUCAGGGGUGAAAUCCUGGAGCUCAACUCCAGAACUGCCUUUGAUACUGGCGAUCUCGAGUCCGGGAGAGGUGAGUGGAACUGCGAGUGUAGAGGUGAAAUUCGUAGAUAUUCGCAAGAACACCAGUGGCGAAGGCGGACUCACUGGCC